UGUGGGAGCUGGCUUGCCUGCGAUGGCUGCGGCAUGGCCAGCAUGGAAGUUGCCUGACACACCGCUAUCGCAGGCAAGCCAGCUCCCACA
rnacentral:antisense_RNA from 1 species